AGCAGCCGCGGUAAUUCCAGCUCCAAUAGCGUAUAUUAAAGUUGUUGCAGUUAAAAAGCUCGUAGUUGAAUUUCGGGGUUAGUAGAUUGGUCAUGCCUCUGGUAUGUACUGGUCUCACUGAUUCCUCCUUCCUGAUGAGCCGUAAUGCCAUUAAUUUGGUGUUGCGGGAAUCAGGACUGUUACUUUAGAAAAAUUAGAGUGUUUAAAGCAGGCUCACGCUUGAAUACAUUAGCAUGGAAUAAUGAAAUAGGACGUUUGAUUCUAUUUUGUUGGUUUCUAGGAUCGACGUAAUGAUUAAUAGGGAUAGUUGGGGGCAUUAGUAUUCAAUUGUCAGAGGUGAAAUUCUUGGAUUUAUUGAAGACUAACUACUGCGAAAGCAUUUGCCAAGGAUGUUUUCAUUAAUCAAGAACGAAAGUUAGGGGAUCGAAGACGACCAGAUACCGUCGUAGUCUUAACCAUAAACUAUGCCGACUAGGGA
rnacentral:misc_RNA from 1 species